AGCAGCCGCGGUAAUUCCAGCUCCAAUAGCGUAUAUUAAAGUUGUUGCAGUUAAAAAGCUCGUAGUUGAACUUCAGGCCUGUCCAGACGGUCCGCCUUAAUUGGUGUGUACUGUCCUUGGGUGGGUCCUACCUUCUGGCGAAGCGGCAUGGCCUUAAUUGGUUGUGUCGGGGAACCAGGACUUUUACUGUGAAAAAUUAGAGUGUUCAAAGCAGGCAAAUAUGCUCGAAUACAUUAGCAUGGAAUAAUGGAAUAGGACGAUGGUUCUAUUUUGUUGGUUCUAGGACCGUUGUAAUGAUUAAUAGGGAUAGUUGGGGGCAUUAGUAUUCAAUUGUCAGAGGUGAAAUUCUUGGAUUUAUUGAAGACUAACUACUGCGAAAGCAUUUGCCAAGGAUGUUUUCAUUAAUCAAGAACGAAAGUUAGGGGAUCGAAGACGAUCAGAUACCGUCGU
rnacentral:rRNA from 2 species